rnacentral:rRNA from 1 species
GAUGAACGCUGGCGGCGUGCUUAACACAUGCAAGUCGAACGGUGAAGCUCCAGCUUGCUGGAGUGGAUCAGUGGCGAACGGGUGAGUAACACGUGAGCAACCUGCCCCUGACUCUGGGAUAACAGCCGGAAACGGCUGCUAAUACCGGAUAUGCACCAUGAACGCAUGUUCUGUGGUGGGAAAGAUUUUUCGGUUGGGGAUGGGCUCGCGGCCUAUCAGCUUGUUGGUGAGGUAAUGGCUCGCCAAGGCGUCGACGGGUAGCCGGCCUGAGAGGGUGACCGGCCACACUGGGACUGAGACACGGCCCAGACUCCUACGGGAGGCAGCAGUGGGGAAUAUUGCACAAUGGGCGAAAGCCUGAUGCAGCAACGCCGCGUGAGGGAUGACGGCCUUCGGGUUGUAAACCUCUUUUAGCAGGGAAGAAGCGAGAGUGACGGUACCUGCAGAAAAAGCGCCGGCUAACUACGUG